ACCAGCUACAAAAUUCUGGCUCAACACCAAUAAGGCUACAGUUGAGAGGCUGCCUCAAUGGUUCUUCAGCUUCUGAAAUCAGAUAGAAUGAAGUACUUUAUCAGGAAGAAUUUGGCUCCGUACUGCUGUAAGCAUGAAGAAUCAGUCUUCACAUCAUCUACCUGAGGAAAUAAGUGUCAUCAACUGUUUUUCCAAUAAUGUGUAUAUCUGGGUUGUAAAACCAUUCUGAGAAGGGCUCUGAACUCAACUCAACCUAAUUCACUUGUGAGUAUUUAAAUUCAGAGGAACUCCUGACUCUAACACAUCCUCUAUUGCUGCAGGAAUUGAAAGUAAUAUAUUCUCAGGCGACCAAAAC
rnacentral:lncRNA from 1 species